AUCGUACUCUUUAUACAUGAUCGUUCGUAUUUCAAAGUGCUCAAUCGAAUCGGAUGACACACUGUAUUUUUUGUUCGUUUAUGUAUGAUCGAAUCGAGUUUCUUCGUCGCUGAAAUGAUCUCUGCUUUUUGUAUUUGGAUCUAUAUCGUUCAUAACAAGAUAACAUGUGAUCCAUAGAGAACCAAAGUUAUAUGAUCUUUGACCCUGAUGGGUUUCAAACUCUUUGUAGGUUAUUAUAAUCUGAGUUAAAAAGAAAAUGGGAGGAGGUAAAGACAAGCAUCAUGACGAGCAAGACAAAGGGUUUCAUGGGUUCCCAGGAGGUGGACAUCAUUACCCACCCGCUGGAUACCCUCCACAACAAGGGUAUCCUCCAGCUGGGGGCUAUCCACCAGCUGGUUACCCACCCGGUGCUUACCCUCCUGGACCUGGAGGUUAUCCUCCUGCUCCGGGUCACGGUGGCUAUCCUCCUGCAGGCUAUCCUGCUCCUCACCACUCAGGUAAAAAAACAAACAGUAUCCCUGUUGAAGUGCUCUCCUUUAUUGUUUGUAUCACGCUUUCCAAAUGCUGUGUCAAGUUUGGAAGGCUUAAUAAUUGGUGAGAUAGUUUAUAAAAUGUUGAUGUUUGAAUUGGCUACAGCAAAGGGUUGUCCUUGUAGUUUGCUAGAUCAUCGACCUGUCACGUUUGGAUGGUAUCAGGAACCAUAGCUUAUAGCUAGUAUAUGUUGCUGUUUUCUAUGCAAACCUUGUAAUUUGUUGUGUGUUUCAACCUGCUAGAUGUUGCAAUAAUGGUAAAAGUAUAGUAGUUUCUUAUAUGUUGCUAGUUUUAGAAACGACGUCGUUUUCAAAUGAUGUAAAAUUAAAAAUAUGUUUACCCCUGGAUUCGAACCCAGGUUGGUUGGUCAAAUGACAAGAUAUUUUACCACUAGGCUACUAGCACUUUCAAUGUAUUUACUAACAUGUUUACUUUUAUUUGGUACCUAUUAAAUAUAAAAAAUUCUCUAAAAACUUAAUAAGAUCUUUAAAAUUCCAAAAAAAUUUAAAAAAUAAAGAAGAUUUUUAUAAAAUUAAUUUAGAAAUUAAAAUUAAAAAUAAAAUUUUAUUUUUUCUUUUUAAAAAAUAAAAACUCUUCCAAAAUUUUUACAUAUUCUAAUUUCAAAUCAUGUAAACGACGUCGUUUCACUAAACGCCAACAAUAAACGACGACAAAUAUUUCUGUUAAAUUUAUUGACGGCGUGCUAAAUUGGCAAGUCAGCGAAAACAUUGUUAAUUAAUUUUAAAGCCAAUGAAAGUUUGGUGUUUUUUUGGUCAGCCUAAAAGUUCAUGUUUCUUUUGGCAAUUCGUGCAAAGUUGAGGUUUUUUUUUUUUUCAAAUUCUCAAUAAACAAGUUAUAAAGUAGAAGAUAAUUCUGAUUAGUGGAGGACUGUUUGGUAUUUUCUUCAUUUUAUUUAUUCUCCACCAAUAGUUUUGGAAGUUUGUCGAAUUAGAGGAUAAAGACUUUUUCGCCACUUAAAUAAAACUAUAUCACAGGAAAAGAUAUUUUCCUUUCCUUAAGCAUGUUCGUAGGACUCCGUGUCAAUUGCGCGUUGCCACGACGUAGACAUAUUAAUUUAUCACACUUCUCCUUUUAGUUUUACAUAUUCUCAUGUUAGCCCGUUUACUUUUGAAAGUUAAUUUAACACCCAAUUACAGCCACAAUCAACCCAAAAUAAACCAAACAAGAAAGAUCUUUCUACGCAUCACAACACUCAUACUUGAUCAAAUGAUUGUAUUGAAGAUUAACUUAUGGAUUUUGAGUUUAGACACGAUUGAAUCUGAAGACUAAAAGUGUUUCAAUUUUAUGAUUAGGGACUAAGAAGACAAUAAAAAUACUAUAUAGAAGAAAUACACUUAUUCAAAAAUGGUAACGCAUUAAAUUAAUAUCUUGACGCAGACGCGGCACGCCCAUCCUUAUAUACGGACAUAAGCGAUCACCUUCUUCUGUUCCAAUUCGUUCCGAAACAAUCUUCUCAAUUCCUUUCGGUAAAUAUUUUCUCAAUCAAUCGUACUCUUUAUACAUGAUCGUUCGUAUUUCAAAGUGCUCAAUCGAAUCGGAUGACACACUGUAUUUUUUGUUCGUUUAUGUAUGAUCGAAUCGAGUUUCUUCGUCGCUGAAAUGAUCUCUGCUUUUUGUAUUUGGAUCUAUAUCGUUCAUAACAAGAUAACAUGUGAUCCAUAGAGAACCAAAGUUAUAUGAUCUUUGACCCUGAUGGGUUUCAAACUCUUUGUAGGUUAUUAUAAUCUGAGUUAAAAAGAAAAUGGGAGGAGGUAAAGACAAGCAUCAUGACGAGCAAGACAAAGGGUUUCAUGGGUUCCCAGGAGGUGGACAUCAUUACCCACCCGCUGGAUACCCUCCACAACAAGGGUAUCCUCCAGCUGGGGGCUAUCCACCAGCUGGUUACCCACCCGGUGCUUACCCUCCUGGACCUGGAGGUUAUCCUCCUGCUCCGGGUCACGGUGGCUAUCCUCCUGCAGGCUAUCCUGCUCCUCACCACUCAGGUAAAAAAACAAACAGUAUCCCUGUUGAAGUGCUCUCCUUUAUUGUUUGUAUCACGCUUUCCAAAUGCUGUGUCAAGUUUGGAAGGCUUAAUAAUUGGUGAGAUAGUUUAUAAAAUGUUGAUGUUUGAAUUGGCUACAGCAAAGGGUUGUCCUUGUAGUUUGCUAGAUCAUCGACCUGUCACGUUUGGAUGGUAUCAGGAACCAUAGCUUAUAGCUAGUAUAUGUUGCUGUUUUCUAUGCAAACCUUGUAAUUUGUUGUGUGUUUCAACCUGCUAGAUGUUGCAAUAAUGGUAAAAGUAUAGUAGUUUCUUAUAUGUUGCUAGUUUUUUUCAUGCAAAUUCUAAGUUUGGUGAGUUCAGUUGUGAUAAUUUUGAACCUUUUAACAGGUUUAGUUUAUAUUGACUGUGAUUGUCAUAUGAACAAAGUUUAUGGUCUUCUUCUCUUUGCAUUUUGCUACUUUGCAUGUUCUCCAUUGUAAGUUUGUAACAAGUAACAACCUUUAUUUUCGUUUUGUUUCAUCAGGAC
rnacentral:lncRNA from 1 species